rnacentral:rRNA from 1 species
GAUGAACGCUGGCGGCGUGCCUAAUACAUGCAAGUCGAGCGAACAGACGAUGAUCUUGCUCCUCUGACGUUAGCGGCGGACGGGUGAGUAACACGUGGAUCACCUCCCUAUAAUACUGGUAUAACUUCGGAAAACCGGCGCUAAUCCCGGAUAAUAUCUUGCACCGCAUGGUUCAAUAGUGAAAGACGGUUUUGCUGUCUCUUAUCGAUGGAUCUCCGCCGCAUUAGCUAGUUGGUAAGGUAACGGGCUAUCAAGGCUACGAUGCGUGAACGACGUGAGAGGGGGAUCGCCGACACUGGAACGGAAACGCGGUCCAGACGACUACGGGAGGCAGCAGUAGGGAACCUGACGCAAUAGUCGAAAGCCUUGCGGAGCAACGCCGCGUGAGUGAUGAAGGUCUUCGGAUCGUAAAAAUCUGUUACUAGGGAAGAACAAAUGUGUAAGUAGAUGUGGACGUAUUGACGGUACCGAAUCAGAAAGCCACGGCUAACUACGUG